rnacentral:lncRNA from 1 species
AUUGGCAAUCCUAUGAUCAGGAACGUUUAGGAUGUGUCUACGAAAGAAUGGUCUCUUGAAUCUAACUUCAUUAGAUUACAUUCUCCCAAUCACAUAUUCCUUGGAUUUUAUCAUUUAAGCAUAUAACAUUUAUAUGAGACGGCUCAAACAAUAAUCUUUGCCCUUUAUAUGUAAAACUAGAUUAGUUUAACAUGUGAAAUGUCCGUAAAGUAUCAUCACAUGAUUGGCUUUAGGGCACAUUUCCAACACUUACACCACUACCACCUUAAUUAGAUGGUGGUCCUCUCCCUAGCCUAUAAAUACAUCCACCCUUCACCAUAACUCAUCUAUAUCCAUCCACACCAUAAUUUACCACUCAUCCAUCAAACCACACCUUGUGCCGCAACAAAGAGAAGAAGGAGGACCCUUGGACGUGCUUGCCAUUCAAGUUGGAUUGUUGGAGCGUUUUUAGGUGUUUUCAUUCUUUUGUUUUCAAUGUCUAAAUUUGUUUAUAUUUGCUUUGUGAGUAUGAGGAACUAAACCCCCCUUAGCUAGGGGGGAAUUCGAAACCAUGUUCCUGCUUGCAAUAUGAUUUGAUUACCUUCAGUUGUGAUUUCAUAAGUUGUGAAUUCAAUUUGUUUAACUACUUGAUUGAUAACUUAUUCGUGUAUGUUUAUUAAGAGUGCACACUUAGUUUGCAUGGAUGAAUAUCAUGCUAGAGUAUAAGGGAGUUUCACCUAAUAGUUACAAACUUAUAUUCACAAGUAGUGGAGGUGGCUUAUAAACGAUCGCGUUAAAUAAAUUCUUGGCAGGAGUUUCAUGCUCAUCAUAGCAACGAAUGCCUCGUCAAUACUUAUAGUUUCAUAAUGCUUAGUGAUCUUUGAUUGUAUCUUUAUUGUGCUGUUCACUUAAAGAAGUUAUGAAGAAUGCUUGAAUUGUUAUAUGCGUUUUCCCAUCCAAUUCAAUAACUUAAGGAGAACUUGAAGGUUAAUUUAAGCGGACUUAAUUAACCUGGGGUGUUGAGUUUCAUGAUUGAUCGAAAUAACAACUGAAAAUUGGUUUAUGUGCAAGUAUGUCAUGUGAAGGAAAAAAUUUGUCCUAGCUAAGAACAAGUAUGAACAUUUGAAUACACAUGCAAGCUAUUAACACUU